CCUACGGGUGACAGCAGUAGGGCAUAUUGCUCAAUGGGGGAAACCCUGAAGCAGCAACGCCGCGUGGAGGAUGAAGGUUUUCGGAUUGUAAACUCCUUUUGUUAGAGAAGAUACUGACGGUAUCUAACGAAUAAGCACCGACUAACUCCGUUCCAGCAGCCGCGGUAAUACGGAGGGUGCAAGCGUUACUCGGAAUCACUGGGCGGAAAGAGCGCGUAGGCGGGAUAGCAAGUCAGAUGUGAAAUCCUAUGGCUUAACCAUAGAACUGCAUUUGAAACUGUUAUUCUAGAGUAUGGGAGAGGUAGGUGGAAUUCUUGGUGUAGGGGUAAAAUCCGUAGAGAUCAAGAGGAAUACUCAUUGCGAAGGCGACCUGCUAGAACAUAACUGACGCUGAUGCGCGAAAGCGUGGGGAGCAAACAGGAUUAGAUACCCGAGUAGUC
rnacentral:rRNA from 1 species